UACGUAGGGGCAAGCGUUGUCCGGAAUCAUUGGGCGUAAAGCGCGUGUAGGCGGCUGGGGUAAGUCCGCUCUGGAAGCCCGGGGCUCAACCCCGGGGAGGCGGGUGGGUACUGCUCAGCUCGAGUCCGGAAGAGGAGUGUGGAAUUCCUGGUGUAGCGGUGAAAUGCGCAGAUAUCAGGAGGAACACCAAUGGCGAAGGCAGCACUCUGGGACGGUACUGACGCUGAGACGCGAAAGCGUGGGGGAGCAAACAGGG
rnacentral:rRNA from 1 species